AGGGUUUGAUUCUGGCUCAGGACGAACGCUGGCGGCGUGCCUAACACAUGCAAGUCGAGCGGGGAACGGAUGGUAGCUUGCUACUGUUUGUUUCUAGCGGCGGACGGGUGAGUAACGCGUGAGCAACCUGCCUUUAUCAGGGGGAUAACGCAUCGAAAGAUGUGCUAAUACCGCGUAAGACCACAGCUUCACAUGGAGCGGGGGUCAAAGGAGCAAUCCGGAUAAAGAUGGGCUCGCGUCCGAUUAGCUAGUUGGUGAGAUAACAGCCCACCAAGGCGACGAUCGGUAGCCGACCUGAGAGGGUGAUCGGCCACAUUGGAACUGAGAGACGGUCCAG
rnacentral:rRNA from 1 species